rnacentral:rRNA from 1 species
CAGCAAUAUGAAGGUCAGGCUGAAGACCUUACCCGAUUAGCUGAGAGGUGGUGCAUGGCCGUCGUCAGUUCGUACUGUGAAGCAUCCUGUUAAGUCAGGCAACGAGCGAGACCCACGUCCACAGUUGCCAGCAUACCCUCCGGGGUGAUGGGUACACUGUGGAGACCGCCGCUGCUAAAGCGGAGGAAGGAGUGGGCAACGGUAGGUCAGUAUGCCCCGAAUCUCCCGGGCUACACGCGGGCUACAAUGGUUGGUACAAUGGGCAUCUACCCCGAAAGGGGAAGGAAAUCUCUUAAAGCCAAUCGUAGUUCGGAUUGAGGGCUGCAACUCGCCCUCAUGAAGCUGGAAUCCGUAGUAAUCGCGUUUCAACAGAACGCGGUGAAUACGUCCCUGCUCCUU